UCCUCAGGAGACCCUAGAUUUGGAGACCAUAUUCCUGUGGUCCCAGAAAACAUGCUGAAACAUGCUGUGCCCUGAUAGCUGCCUCUACUGAUUUCCAUUGCAAAUGCACAGCUUUAGCCCACCUGCAAACUUCUUUGUAAAUUUGUCUGACAGCAAAACCCAUCAGAAGAAGGAAACUCCUUGCUCAUAGAUUUUGGUUGCUCUGCUACUGUUAUGGCUUACAGAACCAAAGAAAACAGCGGGAACAGUAAAGUUACUGAGACUGAAUUAUUUUUCUUUGUCACAUAGCCAUGAGGAGGACUCCGCUGGCAUCAGUACAGGAACACCCCUGGGCAUUCCUGGAGAGCACAAGGCUGUGUGAAGAGGAGCGGCAGCAAACCUGAGGUCUCUUCCAGCCAAAAUGAUCCAUCUCUCUGGCUCUGGUGUGCACAGCUCUGUGCUCACCAAAGCUGCUUUAAUCAGUCUGUCCACCUACGUUCGAUGCGACACUUUGAAGAGUCUGCUGGGCCUGUGCCCCAUUCCCUGAGGUUGCCUUCCCUGUGCUGUGCUGCAGUGUGUGAUGCCUUCAGCCACAGUUCAGCUGCUGAGAAAGGCAGGGGGAGUUCUGCAGUCCUCAGUCCAAACUGGACCGUCAGAACCAGAGAAACAGAGAAAGGCACAGAAAGGCAGCUAACUCUGAAUGCAUCACUUUGCAAGAAAUGAAUGUCUUCCCCAACAUGCUGACACUUCUCUUCUUCUGAAGGUACUUCAUAAGGCAGAAGUAUUUUUGUUUUGUCUCUCUGUGCUUUGAGAACACGGAGAAUUGGCUAAAACCCAGACACCCCACCAUCUCUGUGUCAGGGCCAUCUCCCAUUUGGUGGCCAGGCUGGUUCCUUUGGGAUGGACUAGCUGCAGUGACUGCAGGCACCAUGACCAGGGUCUCUCCCAGGAGCUCGGUGCUAUCCCUGCGUCUUCUCCUGGUGGGACCCUUUGAUUCCAAGGGGACAGUAAUUACAUCCUCCAGGCCUGGGAAUUUGAGCCUCAUCAGAAAAACUUGGUGGUUCUGGACCACCAGGUCAGGAAAUACAAUUUGGCUACCUCUGUUCUUAGAAGGAGACUUCUUUUUCCCCUUAGUUUCCCUUCCCUACACUAGGCUUGCUACCUCUUUAGAAAUUCCAGCUUAGAAUGUUGGGGAAAUAGCAAAAACUGGGCAACAAAAGGGAUUAAAACCAUUGUGAAUAAUGUAUCGAAUGGGUAUCAAUUUCCAACAUUAAAAUGCUAUAAAAAAUUA